rnacentral:misc_RNA from 1 species
AAGUCGUAACAAGGUAACCGUAGGUGAACCUGCGGUUGGAUCAUUAAUAAAUUUGAAGCUCUGCUUCACAAACACCGUGUGCACUGUUUACUGUCUCUGGCAGGAUCAGGGAUGCAAUGUCCCCCCUGUCAAAGGAGUGGGUCGCCCUUUGGGCGACUCGCUCCUUGUUGAAAAACUCAUUGUCUGUCUUUUGUCUGAACUUUUCUUCACAUUCGUGUGAGAAAUUGAAAACAACUUUUGGCAACGGAUCUCUUGGCUCUC